rnacentral:rRNA from 1 species
UAGGGAAUCUUCGGCAAUGGACGAAAGUCUGACCGAGCAACGCCGCGUGAGUGAAGAAGGUUUUCGGAUCGUAAAACUCUGUUGUUAGAGAAGAACAAGGAUGAGAGUAGAAUGUUCAUCCCUUGACGGUAUCUAACCAGAAAGCCACGGCUAACUACGUGCCAGCAGCCGCGGUAAUACGUAGGUGGCAAGCGUUGUCCGGAUUUAUUGGGCGUAAAGCGAGCGCAGGCGGUUUCUUAAGUCUGAUGUGAAAGCCCCCGGCUCAACCGGGGAGGGUCAUUGGAAACUGGGAAACUUGAGUGCAGAAGAGGAGAGUGGAAUUCCAUGUGUAGCGGUGAAAUGCGUAGAUAUAUGGAGGAACACCAGUGGCGAAGGCGGCUCUCUGGUCUGUAACUGACGCUGAGGCUCGAAAGCGUGGGGAGCGAACAGG